GCAGUUGGAAAGCUAUCAGUGAGCGAAAUGCCAAAAAUUUUGUUUUAUAAAAAUCGCUGAAUGAUCUCAGUACCGCGGAUUUUUACACCGAGAGAAAGAGAAAAAAUCUAGAUUCUACGAGAUCAAAAGAGUCGUUUCAAAAAGAGUCGAUAAGGAAAAGAUUGAAUAUUUCAUCAAGUGGAAGGGCUACUCGAGCCUA